rnacentral:rRNA from 1 species
UACAGAGGGGGCAAGCGUUAUUCGGAAUUAUUGGGCGUAAAGGGCGCGUAGGCGGCUUUGUAAGUGACGGGUGAAAUCCCUCGGCUUAACCGGGGAACUGCCUGUCAGACUGCAUGGCUUGAGUCCGGGAGAGGUGAGUGGAAUUCCCAGUGUAGCGGUGAAAUGCGUAGAUAUUGGGAGGAACACCAGUGGCGAAGGCGGCUCACUGGACCGGUACUGACGCUGAGGAGCGAAAGCGUGGGGAGCAAACAGG